rnacentral:rRNA from 1 species
CCCUGUAAUUGGAAUGAGUACACUUUAAAUCCUUUAACAAGGACCUAUUGGAGGGCAAGUCUGGUGCCAGCAGCCGCGGUAACUCCAGCUCCAAUAGCGUAUAUUAAAGUUGUUGCGGUUAAAACGUUCGUAGUUGAACUUGUGCUUCAUACGGGUAGUACAUCUAUAAUUGUAGCUUGUACUUAACCUUAUGUAUGUAAGCGUAUUACCGGUGGAGUUCUUAUAUGCAAUAAAUACUUGUAUUUUUGUAUAUUCCUCCUAUCUAAACCUGCUUCAGUGCUCUUCAUCGAGUGUUGUUGUGGGCCGGUACAAUUACUUUGAACAAAUUAGAGUGCUUAAAGCAGGCUCCAAAUGCCUGAAUAUUUUGUGCAUGGAAUAAUGAAAUAAGACCUCUGUUCUACUUUCAUUGGUUUAUAGAUCAAGAGGUAAUGAUUAAUAGAAGCAGUUUGGGGGCAUUAGUAUUACGACGCGAGAGGUGAAAUUCUUGGACCGUCGUAAGACUAACUUAAGCGAAAGCAUUUGCCAAAGAUGUUUUCAUUAAUCAAGAACGAAAGUUAGAGGUUCGAAGGCGAUCAGAUACCGCCCUAGUUCUAACCAUAAACGAUGCCAGCUAGCAAUUGGGUGUAGCUACUAUCAUGGCUCUCUCAGUCGCUUCCCGGGAAACCAAAGCUUUUGGGCUCCGGGGGAAGUAUGGUUGCAAAGCUGAAACUUAAAGGAAUUGACGGAAGGGCACCACCAGGAGUGGAGCCUGCGGCUUAAUUUGACUCAAC